UGGCAGUGUCAGUGUGGGUUUUGGGUUUUGAGAGAAAGUGACGCCAUUGUCCAUUGAUGGGAGUUUUCAGUUUUGAUGCUAGCUACAUUGCUUCGUAGAUGUAUUUCUAUUUGUGAUGGGUUGACUAUUGUGAGUGCGAUUAAUUUGUUUUUGUACGUAGAGCACCUUUUUUAAAGUAUAGAACUUCACUUCAAUCCACGGCCCCCAAUUUUGUGUUUGAGAGUCGACAAUGUGCAAUGGUUUUUCAGCCGGUUUCCAGUUCUGGUGUUAUCCUGGAUUGUGUUGAUAGUCUAUGAUUUACAAUGGGUAAACUUUGUGGCCAGAUGGUGAAGGAUGUCAUCAAGUUCAGUUGUUGCACGAAGUCUGUGGUGCCAGUGUUAUCCUAGAGUGUGGGACAGUAGUCUCUCUCUGUAUUGAUUGACUGAAAUUUGCAUGUUGAUAAAAUUAAUGGAAUGCAGGUUAGAUAUUUAUAUGUGAUUAGGUAUGAUAAACAUAUGUACAAACUAAUGUCGAUAAGACCUUGUGUCGAUCGAACCUUGUGAAUGUUACAUUUCCCAUAAGAAAUAUUUAAUUAAAUGCCAACUAAUAUAAUCCAACUUGCUUUCUUCAUCUUUUCUAACCUGUUUUCAAACCUACAAGACCCACACUGCAUGCAAAUUAAACAUAAGUCCCGUUUGUUGAUUAAGUGUUUAAUAAACAGGUGCCGUGUUGCACUGUUGCUCUCUGAAA